GAUGAACGCUGGCGGCGUGCCUAAUACAUGCAAGUCGAGCGAACAGACGAGGAGCUUGCUGCUCGGACGUUAGGGGCGGACGGGUGAGUAACACGUGGAUAACCUACCUAUAAGACUGGGAUAACUUCGGGAAACCGGAGCUAAUCCCGGAUAAUAUAUUGAACCGUAUGGGUGGAUAGUGAAAGACGGUUGUGCGGUCACGUAUAGAUGGAUCCGCGCCGUAUUAGGUAGUUGGUAAGGUAACGGCUUAUCAAGGCAACGAUGCGUAGACGACGGGAGGGGCGGGUCGGCCACCCGGGAGGUGGGACAGCGACCAUGCUCCUACGGGACGCAGCAGUCGCCAAUCGUCCGCAACAGUCGAAAGCCUGGCGCAACGACGCCGAGCGAGAUAUGACGGUCUUCCGAUCGUGAAACCCUGUUAUUAGGGAAGAACCAAUGUGUAAGUAACUAUACACUGCUUGACGGUACUUAGUCAGGAAGCCCCGGCUAACUACGUG
rnacentral:rRNA from 1 species